UUACACAGCCGAUCCCAAGCUCGGAGAAAGGAGGAGGGUUGUACAUUUGGUAGGCUUACAAUCAUCACGUAAAAAGAUUCAGUCAGAUCUUUUAUGAAUGUGUUCGAUUUAUGGUUUGGUUUGAUUUGCAUUUUGGAAACUCGACUUGAGUAAGACACAUGAACAUGCUUUGGAGAUGGGUAUGAAGUUAGCAUUCCCUUGUGUCUGUGGGUGGUUGUAGCUGGACUUGAACUUGUGGUAGUAUGGUCUUCUUUUUCAUGCCACAGCUGUAGUACUAUCUGUCAUGAGCUUUAAUUUUUCUUCUUUCCCGGUGUAUUAUGAGGUCGUAAUAAGAUUUUUCAUACUCUUGUAUGUAGGUUUUGAUGCUUUUUUAAUCUCUUUCAAUGCCAGUUGCUUAAAAGCACUCGAAUUUUAUUGGCAUUAUCAGUCUUGUUUGUUUUACAUCAUGCGUUCCUUGCUUGGAGCUGUUGCUACAGUGAUCUACUGGUUAUUAUCUGUGCCGUUACAUUCCUUCCUUCCUUCCUUGGAGCUGUUGCUACAGUGGUCUUACCAUCUGUGCCUAACUGCUCGAACCCCCCUCUCCCUUUACUCAUGUUUUCUGCUUACGGACUUCAAAUGUCGUCUCCACUAGGUCAUGCUUUCGUUCCAUUUUUCUUUUUAUAGGAACAAAGGAAGCUUUGGACUGGUUCCGUCUGCAGUAGAUUCACAUCCUGUCUCAUACUAUGUUGGCCAUGCCUACAUGGCUCUCAUCAGACAUAGUGUGGGCUAUCAAGUUCACCCAGGCUAUUUGCAGUCCGGUUUUGCAUCGGAAUUCUUACACAAUCAUGGUAAUGAAUUUUCUCUGCAUUCUCGUGGUGCAGGGGUUAUUUUUAAUUGCGCAUGCUGCUGUAAUUUCUGAGACAGCCUGACCUUUGUUUCCUUUCCUGGUUAGAACUGUAUUCCAAUUUCUCUCUGUAUCGGCCGGUUAAGUGCUGUUUAACUGUGUUUGUGAUUAUGUUUGCACUGAAGGAAGCUGAGAUCCAAAGCUAGGUGAAAGGUGCAUCACAAGGAGCACUUACUGUAUAGCUAUUAUGUUAAACCCACUGCUAGUACAUCUUGUCGUCCUCUGUUGAUG